rnacentral:rRNA from 1 species
UGUUUGACGGUACCUAUAAAGGAAGCACCGGCUAACUCCGUGCCAGCAGCCGCGGUAAUACGGGGGGUGCAAGCGUUGUUCGGAAUUAUUGGGCGUAAAGCGCGUGUAGGCGGUCUGAUUAGUCUGAUGUGAAAGCCCUGGGCUCAACCCAGGAAGUGCAUUGGGUACUGUCAGACUUGAAUACGGGAGAGGGUAGUGGAAUUCCUAGUGUAGGAGUGAAAUCCGUAGAUAUUAGGAGGAACACCGGUGGCGAAGGCGGCUACCUGGACCGAUAUUGACGCUGAGACGCGAAAGCGUGGGUAGCAAACAGGAUUAGAUACCCUGGUAGUCCACGCCGUAAACGAUGAGAACUAGGUGUCGCGGGUA